AGGGUCAUGGUGGAUUCUACAUCACUGACAAAGGUAUGCUCUAGGAAUAAUACAGGAGGAGAUCAGACAAGAUGAUCACAGUGGUCCCUUCUGGCCUUUGAAUCUUGACAACACUUGGUGCGUAUAUUCCUCUGGAGGCUUAUUUGAAUAAUGAACAAACAAUUCAGAAGUCUGUGAAUAACUGACCAGAUAUUAUGUGAAAAGUAGGUAAAUUUUUAUAUCCUGAUCCUGCAGGCACAUAUACAGGCAGUGAAAAAAGCAAAAAGGAAAUGAAAGAUGAGGAAAAUGGAUAAGGCUGCAGAUUCCUUACACAAUGGUAAAAAAGUUUCAGUUCAAGAUUAAGCUCUAGGCCAAAUGCUGCUGUGCCAUAUGGAGGGGUGUACGUGACAAUUAAGAGAAGAAAAUAAUGCAGUAAGUGCAUAAAACAGUGCACAUGCAGAGAAGACGUGUUAUGGAAAUGCUGUCACCUCCAACAGAGCAUGCAGAUUGGCAAGUACUGGCCAUCUAUGUAAUGCUACAGGAAACCAACUGUGGGCGGAACACUACUGGACAAGAAGUGUGGUCUGUGUCAGCCAGACUUCUCCAGACCUUGUAUACAUUACAACUAUAGCCUGUGCUACAGGGCUAAUCCAAGCCAUAAACUGAUGUUAAGAACUGCAGGAAUACCAGAGAGUCUGCAAAAGGGUUUGAGUGACAUGAGAGUGGGAUUUGUU